ACAGUGAUGGAAAGAUGAAAAGAACUUUGAAAAGAGAGUGAAAAAGUACGUGAAAUUGUUGAAAGGGAAGGGCAUUUGAUCAGACAUGGUGUUUUGCGCCCCUUGCCUCUCGUGGGCUUGGGACUCUCGCAGCUCACUGGGCCAGCAUCGGUUUUGGCGGCCGGAAAAAACCUAGGGAAUGUGGCUCUGCGCCUCGGUGUAGAGUGUUAUAGCCCUGGGGAAUACGGCCAGCCGGGACCGAGGACUGCGAUACUKGUUAUCUAGGAUGCUGGCAUAAUGGUUAUAUGCCG
rnacentral:rRNA from 1 species